rnacentral:rRNA from 1 species
UGGGGAAUCUUCCGCAAUGGACGAAAGUCUGACGGAGCAACGCCGCGUGAGUGAUGACGGUCUUCGGAUUGUAAAGCUCUGUUAAUCGGGACGAAUGGUUUGUGUGCAAAUAGUGCAUAGACAUGACGGUACCGGAAUAGAAAGCCACGGCUAACUACGUGCCAGCAGCCGCGGUAAUACGUAGGUGGCAAGCGUUGUCCGGAAUUAUUGGGCGUAAAGCGCGCGCAGGCGGACUAGCCAGUCAGUCUUAAAAGUUCGGGGCUUAACCCCGUGAUGGGAUUGAAACUACUAGUCUAGAGUAUCGGAGAGGAAAGUGGAAUUCCUAGUGUAGCGGUGAGAAGCGUAGAUAUUAGGAGGAAUACCGGUGGCGAAGGCGACUUUCUGGGCUUUUACUGACGCUCAGGUACGAAAGCGUGGGGAGCAAACAGG